rnacentral:tRNA from 1 species
UGGCGGGGUGUGAGUAAUGGUAGCUGGCCGGGCUCUCAACCCGGAGAUGGAGGUUCGAUUCCUUCCCCCGCAACCA